GCGGCCUAUCAGCUUGUUGGUGAGGUAACGGCUCACCAAGGCAACGACGGGUAGCUGGUCUGAGAGGAUGUCCAGCCACACUGGGACUGAGACACGGCCCAGACUCCUACGGGAGGCAGCAGUUAGGAAUCUUGCGCAAUGGACGAAAGUCUGACGCAGCGACGCCGCGUGCGGGAUGAAUGCCUUCGGGUUGUAAACCGCUUUCAGCAGGGAUGAAAUUGACGGUACCUGCAGAAGAAGCCCCGACCAACUACGUGCCAGCAGCCGCGGUAAUACGUAGGGGGCAAGCGUUGUCCGGAUUUAUUGGGCGUAAAGAGCUCGUAGGUGGUUCGGUAAGUCGGAUGUGAAAUCUCCAGGCUCAACCUGGAGGGGUCAUUCGAUACUGCCGUGACUAGAGGUCGGUAGGGGAGUGUGGAAUUCCUGGUGGAGCGGUGAAAUGCGCAGAUAUCAGGAGGAACACCCGUAGCGAAGGCGGCACUCUGGGCCGAUACUGCCACUGAGGAGCGAAAGCGUGGGGAGCGAACAGGAUUAGAUACCCUGGUAGUCCACGCCGUAAACGUUGGGCACUAGGUGUGGGACUCUAUCGACGGGUUCCGUGCCGUAGCUAACGCAUUAAGUGCCCCGCCUGGGGAGUACGG
rnacentral:rRNA from 1 species